rnacentral:miRNA from 1 species
CUUGAUUGAUUCAAUUGUGAU